UUCCAUGCUCGAGGGUGGUCGCUCCCCCUCGAGCGAUGCGCUCCGGAGUUUUGCAUCACGGGUUGGAGUAAACCCGAGGACGGUCUUAGCGGGAGGCAGCUGAGGGCCCGCGAUGAUGGACUUAAUGUGGGCAAGUUAAUGUGGCGAAACCCCCGGGUUAGCCGUGAGAUUAAAGAACAAGAACAAAGAACAAAGCUUAAAGAAUAAAGAGUAAAGAACAAAGAACUUGCAU
rnacentral:lncRNA from 1 species